GGUGUGUAAGCUGUGUUUUGAUGUGAGUUCCAGUGUGCGCUUUAGACUCGGGCUGCUGAGGAAACUUUUAGGAAUGUAUUACAGGUUACAGUAAGAAAAGAAGAUAAUUAUCUGUUAGCUGUUUUCAGCCCCUCAAGAACUUGGAAGGAGAUGGAGGUGGAGCCAAAAGAUAUGCCAAGUCACUGGGGAGACAUGGUGGUCUCUAAGGCAGCAUUCUGGAGCCAGGAGUGCGUCGGAGAAUGUAAUCGGCGGUUAGAUCUAAGGUUACAUGAGUUCUGGCUCAUCAGCCUGAUGCAUCAAUGUGUGAAAGCUAUUUCUUGUGCUUGGCUUUAGAGAAUAUGGAUACAUUCUAAGUAGCUUCUCUUUUUUCAAAUCUGUAUGUUUAACAUUAAAACAGCUGAUAUUAUACCCAGAGAGUAUCUCCAUCAUCAGUGAUCUUACAAUUUCACAUCUUAAAAAUAACAUAUUCUGUAUUACUUGAGCAUUUUCUAAUAAUACAAUUGUAAUCAGGUAUUAUUUCUGUCAAGGAGUUGAACUUGGCUGAA